rnacentral:rRNA from 1 species
AUUGAACACUGGCGGCAGGCCUAACACAUGCAAGUCGAGCGGGGUUUUCGGACCUAGCGGCGGACGGGUGAGUAAUGCGUAGGAAGCUACCCGAUAGAGGGGGAUACCAGUUGGAAACGACUGUUAAUACCGCAUAAUGUCUACGGACCAAAGUGUGGGACCUUCGGGCCACAUGCUAUCGGAUGCGCCUACGUGGGAUUAGCUAGUUGGUGAGGUAAUGGCUCACCAAGGCGACGAUCCCUAGCUGGUUUGAGAGGAUGAUCAGCCACACUGGAACUGAGACACGGUCCAGACUCCUACGGGAGGCAGCAGUGGGGAAUAUUGGACAAUGGGCGCAAGCCUGAUCCAGCCAUGCCGCGUGUGUGAAGAAGGCCUUCGGGUUGUAAAGCACUUUCAGUAGGGAGGAAGGGUGUUGUGUUAAUAGCACAGCAUUUUGACGUUACCUACAGAAGAAGCACCGGCUAACUCUGUGCCAGCCGCCGCGGUAAGAC